AAGUCGUAACAAGGUUUCCGUAGGUGAACCUGCGGAAGGAUCAUUACAGAGAAUCUGCCCCCGGGCAAGUCUCCACCCUUUCGUUUCAUUUCAUACCUUUGUUCGCUUUUGGCAGGCCCUGCCCCGGGCCGCCCGGCUUCGGCUGCCAGCGUCUGCCAGAGGACCCCAAACUCUUGUUUUAUUGUCGUCUGAGUACUAUAUAAUAGUUAAAA
rnacentral:misc_RNA from 1 species